AUUACGAUCCCCGCCAGCAGCCAGUAGUCGUGUCGGCGAUGCCAGAUCUCAUUCAUCUUCCCCGAGGAGAUGGCAGCCCGCUCCUCGUUCUGCCAGAGAGUGUGCAGCUCUGCGGGUUGAAGCCAGCACAAGCAGAUAAAUGAAAGGAAAGCGGUUCCAGGAAUGGACCGACCUCGAGGUUGCCCCCGACUCUGGCCAGGAGAGGCGGGAGAGGCUUGUCCUUGUCGUUCCUCAGCUGGCGGCGAGACUGCCGUCGACCUGAGCGUGGAAACAGAACCCAGAGAGGAUGCAGCUUCGCAGCAAGACAACAGCGUCUCUCUUCAGAUGAAAAAACCGUCUGGAAAGCUUCAACUCUUUUCUCUGUUGUUUUUGGCAGCAGUUCUGCCUGGAAACUCGGCGGCUCACCUUGUCCUCCUCCCGGACCAUGUACUGAGCCACUUUGAAGGAGCUCAGGUACUCGUUCAUGUUCUGCACGUCCGUGUCGUCGGUGGCGUCUUGACUGCGGUCCAGCAGCCUCU